UACGGGGGGUGCGAGCGUUGUCCGGAAUCACUGGGCGUAAAGGGCGCGUAGGUGGCGUGAUAAGGGUGUGGUGAAAGCCCGGGGCUCAACCCCGGGUCUACCAUGCCGACUGUCAGGCUAGAGUACUGUAGGGGCAGGCGGAAUUCCGGGUGUAGCGGUGGAAUGCGUAGAGAUCCGGAGGAAGACCGGUGGCGAAGGCGGCCUGCUGGGCAGUUACUGACACUGAGGCGCGACAGCGUGGGGAGCAAACAGG
rnacentral:rRNA from 1 species